ACUUAGAUUAUUGUUUUGUUAGUGGAUUAAAUUAAGGGACUUGGUGGACAUUUUCAUGUAAGAACUAUUUAUUUUUAUGGAUUUUGGCAUUAUGACAAUUAAGGAUUUAAUUUGAGUAUUUUACAUUGUGAGUUAUGUGAUUGGAUUCUUAGCCUUGCAUGCUCACUUAUAUGAGUGUGCGGCGUUGUCACGGAGCUUGGGGCGUGACAAUAUAUGACUAAGAUGAAGCA
rnacentral:sRNA from 1 species